GGAUGUUAUUAUAUCAACUCACAUGCAGCAGUCCCAUCAGAAGUCUAGAGUUAAGUUUGGGCAAUAGUAGUACUAGGAUGAGUAACUUUUUGGAAAGUCCUUGUGUUGUAUCCCCUCACCUUCUUUUUAUUUUUCAUAAUUCUUUUAGCGUAUUUUUAGUGGCUUCCCUGUGACGCGCGUCAUUUUUAACUGAGCUCCGUGCUUGGGAGUUGAAAGAGAAAAAUGAAAAGGACUAUUUAUUUUAUUUUUAGAUUUCUUUUAAUCUUUUUAGCUCGGUGUGGAUGCCAUUGCGAUCUGACGACGGAUGAUCAAUUGAAUAAUAAUAUUUAAAGGUUUUCGCGUGAACAAACACUGGGGUGAUUUGCACGUGCAUAAGGUUAUGGGGUCAUGAAGCACGGUCAAGGAAAUGGUUAUAUAUAAUUACGAGUCAUAAAUUAAUGGAAGCUAUCAUACCAACUCACAUAGACCAAUCCUACCAGAAGUCUAAAGUUAAGCGAGUUUGGGCGAGAGUAGUACAAGGAUUGGUGACCUUCUGAGAAGUCCUCGUGUUGUAUUCCCUCUUCUCUAUUUUAUUUUUCAUAAUUUUUUUGCGUAUAUUUAGCGACUUACUUGUGACGCGGGUCGUUUUCGACUAAACUCCAUGCUUGGGAGUUGAAAGAGAAAAAUGAAAAGGACUAUUUAUUUUAUUUUUGGAUUUCAUUUAAUCGAUUUAGCUUGGUGUGGGUGCCAUUGCAAUCUAACGACGGACGAUUAAUUGAAUAAUAAUAUCUAAAGGUUCUCAUGUGAAGAAAGACCGGGGCGAUUUGCACGUGCAUAAGGAUAUGGGGUCGUGGGGCAUGGUCAAAUAAAUGGUUAUAUAUAAUUACGAGUCAUAAAUUAAUGGAUGCUACCAAACCAAUUCACAUGUAUCAGUCUCAUCAGAAGUCUGAAGUUAAGCGUGUUUAGACAAGAGUAGUAUUAGGAUGGGUAACCAUCUGAGGAGUCCUAGUGGUGCCACCG
rnacentral:sRNA from 1 species